rnacentral:sRNA from 2 species
UAGUACAAAAAUGGUUGCGUAUCAUUGACAGGAAAGAAACUGCAUUUCAAGUACUCCAAACCUCUUAUGGUGGCUUCGUUGAGGUUUAUUAUUACUAAUUAUAUGCUGACAGAAAUGGUAUGCAUUUCUGGACAUUUUGAGAAGACAAGAUAUCUGGGAGCAUUCAGUAUCCAGUGCUGACCUUCAUGGUUCAAGGAUGCAAGAGGCUCACACUAACUAACGUGAGCACGAAAUUACCUCUCUCAGCUUGAAAUAGCUCAAUAAUACCGACAUAGGGGAAUCCUUAACAUGGAUUUCGCGUAGAUGAACCAGCCAAAAGACUCGAUGCACUGAGGAUUGGCCAAAGUGGAAAAGAGCUGCUUCGUUCACGGAUUUUUGAUGUGUAAAAUAUUACAAUAUUAAUAUUAGUAGUUGUUUAUUUUGGUUUUCUCAUCUCGACAUAAGCAUAAUAUACCUGAUACAUUCAUAUCGGACGCAAUAUCAGUGAUAGAUAAAAGCUCGCCAGCAGAGCACAAAAAAUGCAGAUUCAAAAUCAUACAAAACAUGCUAAAUUCAAAUAUUCAUCAGGAGUAAUGGUAUCACAAAAAUACAAUAAAUGCAACGCUUGCCAACCUAUGUGAAACCCGAGGAUAUGCGAAAAAUCGAUGAUUGCAAAACGCUCACAUAUACAUAGACAAAAUAAAUGCACCCAAAAUAGAACGUGACC